UUAUGAUAUAGGCUCGUUGAAAAGAUUGUGAAAUUCUUAGCUUGGACCUGAGCAAAUAGGAUUUCUCUAUGGCACGCGUGGUGACGUGAGGAGUUCUUCAUCAUGGGGUGUAUGGCGUGGGGCAAUCCUAUGGACGAUAAAACGAUCAACGUAGAACGCCAUUUAAAUUAUGUUUUGUUUUAAGGGACUUUUUCCUAAAUUAUCAGUGGGACUCUGUUAUUUAACUUAAUUGGUUUUCUUUGAACUUUGCAUAAAAACCUAUGUUUUAUUUUAAA